CGACUGACCAGCGGAUGACUCGGUGCGCGCAUGCGCACAGGCGGGACGCGCCGGGCUCCGCAGCGGCUGCAGCGCAGAUCCUCGAGAGGAGGGAGAGGGUGUGCAAAAGACAACAGGAAGUGUGGAGACACCAAGGGGCUCAACUAGCAGGUUGUGAAAAAGCUGAAGAGUGAACCCAGAAAGAAACUGGUACAAGUGAAUAUAGAAAACUGAUAUUUCACUAAUGUUCUCAGAUUCAUGCUUGGUUCUGAAGAUCAGAUUUUUCUAGAUUGCUGAUUAUUCACCCAUCAUGUAAUAUACACCCACAACUCAGUGCAACUACCACUUACCCACAGUGAUUGCUUGUCUUUAGUAUUUGUUCAGAAUUCAUUGUCUGUUAUAGCACUGAUCUCCAAAGAAAGACUGUGUAUCCUUGAAGAUAUGUAAAAUAAUCCAGUAGAGUACAGGGAGUAAAUAGUAAAACUUCUGUUUGUAUUUUUGUGAUUUUUGUAGAGUAACAUUAGUACAGUAGCACAUGUAUACUAUUUAAACUUUUUAACGAUGCAUACUAAAAAUGUGUGCUAAUAACAUGAUAAAAUGUCUUUAGUGAAAGAUGCGUGUCCAGCAAAAUUUAGAGCUCAUGUCCUGUACUUCAUAUCCAUUUUAUGCUUAAGUAAUGACUGACUCUCCCUGAGGUCUGUCUUUGCUUUUUAUAGUACAUGUUUGCAGUACAUAGCAAUUAUGUUUAUCAUGAGGAGAUGAGGAGUUGAUACAUGUAUGUAAUACAUCUUAAUUCUUCUUUUUUUUAUCCCCUGCCCCUUCUGAGCCCAUACUAUCUUUCUGAUCUUUGGCAAGUUAUAAAAUUUCUCUAAUCCUCUGUUUUCUUGUCUGCAAAAUAUAAGGAAUAAUGAUACAUUGCAUAGGAUGUAAUAAUUAUUGUUUCUGUGAAGAGUUUUAUAAGAUAAAGUGCAAUUCACAUGUGUGCAAACAGAGAGCAGACAAUACCUCAUUUUUAUAUGUUCAGCAUUUUUUGCAAUAGCUAGAAAAUGGAAGCAGUUCAAUAAAUACAUAAAUAAAUGAAUGAGUGAGUCCAUGUACAGUACCAAUAACAAUCUUACAGGGAAAAGUAAGAUGUGGUAAAAAACAUAAUGAAUCACUAAGUGGGAGGAACCAAGUUGAAUCUUACUAUAUCCUUAGUGCUGUAAUAUUUGAAGAACUCAUUUUCAUUUUUACUAAGUUCAAUUCUUCCUAUAUAA